GGGGGGAUUAAAAGUUACAGAUUACUCAUCCAAUUAUCCAAGGAAAGCUUCAAUGUCGUUUUCUUCUCUGAAAUCCUAUUUCCACUUAGCCAUAGACCAAACACCAUUAUAAAAGAUAAUACUGUUGCGAUGACACCAAAUGCACUAGCUAGCAAUGAUGAUAAUCUCCCUGAAAGAUUCCACACAAUUCCCAAAAACUCCCAGCACAUUUGACUGAAACAACAUUCAAAGAAUAAGUGCAUCAGAUUUUCUUCACAACCUGCAGAAUGUAGAACACAUGUGUAAUCAUGGAGAUGCAUGUUCUAAUAUCAUCUGAGGAGGCGAUCUCUUAGCAAGAGCCAAAAGCAAAGCUAUUUGUUUGUCUGUCCUUUCAGUUAUCAUUAAUUAGUUUUAAUAGUAAUAAAGUACUUCACCAGUCCCAUACCUCACAAAACGUACAGUUAAGUCGCUAAACUUUGCUACAGUAUGACACAAGUCAUGAGGUUGUGGACUUGUGGUGCUCUGCUUCAGCCUCCAGCGCAAAGGAAGGGAGCUGCUAGCUUGCCUAUUAGUUUCAUGCAGAAAGAACAAUGAGACAGGAGAGGUACUUUUGCUUGCUUCGAUGUGGUGUUAAAGGCGCUGGAGGUGAGUAGGUAGAGGAACGAUGGUCGAAGCUCGGAGGAAAUGGUAGAAUCGGGCUGGUGGUCGCCACAAAGUUGCUUGCCCUUUGUCGUUAUAAGCAUGUGCAUAGGACGAGCGCCUCUUCCUUCCUCCGCUAUCCAUCUUGGAGAGGUAGUGGUCAAGCUCGACAGGUACUUCAGCAGUGUUGACACCAGCAGCUGCAGCCAGCGGCAAGCUGGUGACCGGCUAUGUAGGAGCUCACCUCCCAACUAGUAACUGGUCGUUGUGGCCACACAUUGCACCGAGACUUGGAACUGGACGCGUGCAUGGUGACCGAACGUGAGAGCAACCCAUACGGCAUUGGUAACAUGCUGAGCAUGAGAUGGGCUGGAGGAGAAGGGGAUGAAUGGGAGGGAGGAUAGAGCAGGUGAGAGAGAGAGGAGAGAUGGGCCCACAUUUUCACAAGCGUUCAACUGCAGGUGCUUGCUUAAACCUCUGUGCAAAGACUCUAUACAAAUGUUUGAUGUAAUAAUGUCAACAUGUCUUUAAGUAUCUAAUAAGAAAUGCGUGAAACCCCCUACAUCAAAGCUCCAGCGAGGUCCUCUUUUCAGAUGUGGCGUGUGGCUAGGAAACCACAAUGUUAGUAGUGAUUAGUCAGAUGAUUGAGUGGCAUAAACUAUGCACUAAACCAUUGUUAAUUCGAUGUGGGGAUGAUUAGUGCACCAAUAUAAUUAGUUAAGGGAUUGAUUUACAUCAAGUAAAACAUCAAAAUACUUAAGGAAUAAAAAAAGGAAAAGUGCAUUUUUCAUCCUCAAGUAUUGCAAAGUGCAUUCAUUCUUUAUGUUUCAUUUGUUGUAAAUUAGCCCCUUAAUUUACUAAACCGAUGCAUUUAUCAUCCCACCUAAGUUUGAUAUUAGUUUAGUGUCAUAUAACAUCGGCUUAGGCCAUGUAAUCAUAUUACUAGUCACUUCUUAGGUAUGUCUAAUGUUGAGUCAAUUGCUACAAUAGCUCGGUAUGAAUCAGUUCCAUUAAUUUUUCUAAUAAUUUUUAUUUCAUAGGAAAUUUAGAGUAUUUAUUAUUUUUUUAUUGGUUUUAUAUAUUCGACUCAGCAUAUUACAUUGCUAAGCAAGGACUAGUCAGAUAAUUUCAUGGCAUACACCGUCACUAGAUGGCAUUGAACCAUUGUCAAACUUAGAUGGGGUUGAUUUUCACCAAAUGAAAUAUGGGAAAUGAAUGUCACACUUUUGCAAUUUGCGAGGGAUGAAAAUACACCUUUUUCCCCUAAAAAAACACUUUCCUUUUUUAACAAAUUGGCAGGGGAGUCCCCUAUACCUGUUUUUUGGUAUAUAUAUAAAGAAAAACAGCAUGUACAAAGAAGUUACAAAGCUGACAUUCUCAAAGAGCAAAGGGGGGAGGAGGAAUGAAAAGUUACAGAUUAUUCAUCCUGAAUGAUCAUAUCUAAAGGGGCCAGCGAAAGAUUCCACACAAUUCCCAAAAACACCCAGCACAUUUGAAUGAGACAACAUUCAAAUAAUAUGUGCAUGAGAUUUUCUUCACAAUCUGCAGAACGUAGAACACAUGUGUAAUCAUCGAGAUGCAUGUUCUAAUAUCUUGUGAGGAGGUUUCUUGUAUUCAGGCGAUCUCUAAGCAAGAGCCAAAAGCAAAACUAUUUUUUAGUCUGUCCUUUCAGUUCUCAUUAGUUUUAAUAGUAAUAAAGUACUUCACCAGUCCCAUAACUCACAAAAUGUACAAUCAAGUCCCUAAACUUUGCUACAGUAUGACACGAGUCAUGGGGUUGUGGAUUUGUGGUGCUCUGCUUCAGCCUCAAGCGGAGAGGAAGGGAGCUACUGGCUUGCCUAUUAGUUUCAUGGAGAAAGAAAAAUGAGAGAGAAGAGGUAGUUUUGCUUGCUUUGAUGUGGCAUUAAAGGCGCUGGAGGUGAGUAGGUAGAGCGAUGAUGGUCGAAGCUCGCAAGAAAUGGUAGAGUCGGGCUAGUGGUCGCCACAAAGGUGCUUACCGUUUGCCGUUGCAAGCAUGUGCAUACGACAAGCGCCUUUUCCUUCCUCUACUACCCAUCUUGCAGAGGUACUGGUCAAGCUCGACGGGUACCUCAGCAGUGUUGACACCAGCGGGUGCAGCCAGUGGCAAGCUGGUGACCGGCUGUGUAGGAGCUCGCCUCCCGAGUAGUAACUGGUCGUUGCGGCCGCACAUGGCACCGAGACUUGGAACUGGAUGCGUGCAUGGUGACCGAACAUGAGAGCAACCAUACGACAUUGGUAAUUAACAUGCUGAGCAUGAGAUAGGCCAGAGGAGUUGGGAUGAAAGGGAGGGAGGAUAGAGUAGGUGAGAGAGAGAGAGGAGACAUGUCGAGUCCUUGUCAUAGCAUAGUAUAAACAGCAUGUCACGUAGGUGGUUUAACUUAAAUUAGACGAUUUGUGACUCAUAUGGUACAAUUAGCAAGUUUUUUUAGGGAUCUGAUUGUUCAUUUUGAUAGUUCUGGACCGGAUGACAUAACGUUACAAUUUUGAUGGCCUGCAAAACUGCAGUACCUAAACCUAAACCUCAUCCUUCCCCCACAAUCCAUCUUGGAAAGGUAGUGGUCAAGCUCGACGGGUACCUCAGCAGUGUCGACAGCAGCGG
rnacentral:lncRNA from 1 species